rnacentral:rRNA from 1 species
GUGUCAGCAGCCGCGGUAAUACGGAGGGUGCGAGCGUUAAUCGGAAUUACUGGGCGUAAAGCGCAUGCAGGCGGCCUGUUAAGCCAGAUGUGAAAGCCCGGGGCUUAACCUAGGAAUUGCAUUUGAAACUGGCAGGCUAGAGUCUUGUAGAGGGGGGUAGAAUUUCAGGUGUAGCGGUGAAAUGCGUAGAGAUCUGAAGGAAUACCAGUGGCGAAGGCGGCCCCCUGGACAAAGACUGACGCUCAGAUGCGAAAGCGUGGGGAGCAAACAGGAUUAGAAACCCCUGUAGUCC